AUCGAUGAAGAACGCAGCGAAAUGCGAUAAGUAAUGUGAAUUGCAGAAUUCAGUGAAUCAUCGAAUCUUUGAACGCACAUUGCGCCCUCUGGUAUUCCGGGGGGCAUGCCUGUUCGAGCGUCAUUACAACCCUCAAGCUCUGCUUGGUAUUAGGCCUCACCUGCUAAGGCGGGCCGUAAAAUCAGUGGCGGUGCCAUUCGGCUUCAAGCGUAGUAAUUUUCUCGCUUUGGAUAACCGGUUGUGUGCCUGCCAACAACCCCAAUUUUUUUUAAAGGUUGACCUCGGAUCAGGUAGGGAUACCCGCUGAACUUAAGCAUAUCAAUAAGCGGAGGAAAAGAAACCAACAGGGAUUGCCUCAGUAACGGCGAGUGAAGCGGCAACAGCUCAAAUUUGAAAUCUGGCCUUUUGGUCCGAGUUGUAAUUUGUAGAGGAUGUUUCGAGCGUGGUCCGGUCUAAGUUCCUUGGAACAGGACGUCAUAGAGGGUGAGAAUCCCGUAUGCGACUGGGUGCCUAAGUUCAUGUGAAACUCCUUCGACGAGUCGAGUUGUUUGGGAAUGCAGCUCAAAAUGGGUGGUAAAUUUCAUCUAAAGCUAAAUAUUGGCCAGAGACCGAUAGCGCACAAGUAGAGUGAUCGAAAGAUGAAAAGCACUUUGGAAAGAGAGUUAAACAGUACGUGAAAUUGUUGAAAGGGAAGCGCUUGCAACCAGACUUGCAUGCAGUUGAUCAUCCGGCGUUUUCACCGGUGCACUCGAUUGUAUUCAGGCCAGCAUCGGUUUUGGUGGUUGGAAAAAAGCCUUGGGAAUGUAGCUUCUUUCGGGGAGUGUUAUAGCCCUCGGUAUAAUGCAGCCUACCGGGACCGAGGACCGCGCUUCGGCUAGGAUGCUGGCGUAAUGGUUGUAAGCGACCCGUCUUGAAACACGGA
rnacentral:rRNA from 1 species